GGCUCUUAGCUCAGUGGUAAAGCACCUGCUUUGCAUGCAGAAGGUCCCAGGUUCAAUCCCCAGUCAUCUUCA